rnacentral:rRNA from 1 species
UAAGGUUCUGCAUGUCUGUCGUCAGUCUCGUGUCCGUGAGGUGUUGGGUUUAAGUCCCGCUACGAGCGCAACCCCUAUCACUAGCUUGCCAUCCGGUAAUGCUGGGAACUCUAGUGAAUACUGCCNCCGCAAUGGCGUGAGGAUAGGAGGGGAUGAUGUCAAGUCAUCAUGGCCUNUUAUGCCCAGGUGCUACACACGUGCUACAUAUGGCAGAUACAAAGGGUUGCUACCUGGUAACAGGAUGCUAAUCUCANAAAAUCCUGUCUCAGUUCGAAUUGAGGUCUGCAACUCGACCUCAUGAAGCUGGAAUCGCUAGUAAUCGUAGAUCAGCAAUGCUACGGUGAAUACGUUCCCGGACCUUGUACACACCGCCCGUCAAGCCAUGGAAGCUGGGUGUACCCAAAGUCGAUAACCGCAAGGAGUCGCCUAGGGUAAAACUAGUAACUGGGGCUAAGUCGUAACAAGGUAGCCGUAUCGGAAGGUGCGGCUGGAUCACCUCCUU